AUGGCCUUGGAGGAAGGAGAUGCUGAUAACUUAAAACGCCGUGUAGUGGAACUACUGCUUCAGAACCCCCAAGGCAUCAGGUUUGAGAAUUUUUCUGGGGCCUUCCAUCAGCUGCAUGGUUACUACCCUCGUAUCGCUCUUCAGGGAUAUCAUACGCUCAAGGAAUUAGUGGCUGAUAUGAAGAAUGCUGUGGUUGUGGAAAGGCGUUCACGGCAACAAGUUUUGAAGAUUGCAAAGGGCUUCCGUCUUGACUGUUGGUUGGAAGGAGAAAAAGGGAAUGGAUUGGAAACAUCAGAAAGAGAAGUGGAGAACCUGCGAGAUGAAGACCAAGUUGGAGGAGAAACAACUCUUGCAGACAUCUUGGAUUUGCUCAUCAGCCUCCUAACGGAGUACAAAUCGGGACUGAGAAUUAGCUAUAUCCAGAAAUUCAUGCUAUCCAAGCAUGCAGUGGACAUGGAAAAGUUCAGCAUUGCCCAAGGCUACAAGAACAUCAUGGAAUUCUUGGGACAUGAACUGCCAGAGCUAAUAGUCAGAUAUCAAGAGAAAACCUGUGAAUAUGUUGUACAGAUUCCUGAAGGUCUCUUUGCCUCAGAUCUGUCUGUGGAGUCAGAUUUCUCUACAUGGAGCUCACCAUCCUCGACCCAGGAUCUAACAAGAACAAACUCUGAUCUGCCGGCUGCUUCAAAGCUAAUUCGGGAUGUGCUCAAGAGUUUUCCUUGUGGUAUCAAAGUAUGUUCGCUAAAAAGGGUCCUCAGAAAGAGAUGCGGAUUUGACUUGGAGGCAUUCCGCACACAGCACGGAUACCAAGAUGUGUUGUCCUGCUUGAAGGAUAUCCCUGACCUGUUUCUGCUAAACACGAAUAGGCAUCGGAAUUGUCUCGUCCGCCUUCAGCCAUGUCCCUUUGGUUCAGAUCUGUCUCUGGACUCAGAUUUCUCUGGAUAUAGCUCUCACUCCGAACCCGACGGUCUAACAAGAACGAAUUCCGUCCUGUCUCUGGAAAGUACCUCCAGCUGUACUCCUUCUCUUGAUACUAAUUUCUCUGUUGGUCACACAAAUGUUGAGCCUAAGAAACCGAGGUCAACAAAUUCAGCUGUCUCUCUACCUUCUACCAGUGUGAGUGUGCCGAACCAUGCGAAGGAACCAACAAACCAGGCCCUAGCAUUACCAGAAGUUUUGUCUUUAGUCAGUGACCUACUCACCAAGUACAAAGACGGUCUGAGAAUUAAGAAAAUUCAAGAUUUCCUGAUGGCCACAAACAGCAUUGACCUUGAGAAAUUCAGCAUCAUGCAAGGCUACAAAGGCUCAGUGGAAUUUUUGCAGCGUCAAAUGCCUUAUUUAUCCUACAUGAAACGAAACCAAAGACUCAACAGUGUUUUUAAACUGGGUAUAAAGGCAAAAAAGAAGCAGCCUCAAAAACAUCCCCAAACUGGAACAACCAAAAAGAAUCCUUCUGUUGCUUCUGUUCCCCCUUUGAUGAAUGCCCCUGUGCUGCAGUCAACAAAACCACUGGAGCCAGUUUGUUCCGAAUCAGGCUUUGGAAGUGUCUCUAAGUCUUCCGUUACAGCCCAUGAUUUUACUGCAAGCAAAUCUCAGUCCCAGAGCCUGCCUUUACAAGCUCCUUCCACACCACACCAAGUCAAGAAUACGAUCCAUUCCAGCAUGCGUAUCCCACUUCCAUCUUUUCAUGAGGUCCAUAAUGCAUCACCAGCCAAGCCUAACAAUUCAGGCCAGUCUAUUUCCAAUGGUCCACACCAGAAGCCAAAUGUAUGCCUGUGUGGACCACCACCCAUGGAAGAGGUAUCUUGUCAGUUGGAUAGGCAACCGUCUAACAAAUCCAAAAUGACUAAAGAUGAACCUUCACAGGACCAGGAUGAUUUGAAGCAGCAAGUAGCUCACAUCCUGGCCUUGCAUCCAGAAGGCAUGUCACUUUUCCAGUUCCGUGCAGCCUAUAGUGCCACCUAUCAGCAGCACUUCCCAAUGGACAACACUGCUUCUGUCAAACAACGUUUGCAGGAAAUGCCGGAUGUUGUUAGUAUGAAAAGCUAUGGAGUCCAAACAAGGCUGCUAUCUGUAUCCCGUGCAAUGCCAUCUUUAAAAUCUGGUCAGCCUGUCUCUGCCACAAUGGAAAAAGCUUCAGUUGUCCCUGGUCUCUCACAGCCCAGAACAGUGUCACUGACUCAAGAGAAUUCUGAAGAACUUGGAGGAGAUGACAGCAAGGAGGAUUACCCAGUCCUUGAUUCUUUGCUCCACCAAGUAGUUAAACCAAGAGGUUGUGUGCAAGAGAAUGUGAAGAAGAAGCCCAGGCCAAUGGGAGCUCCGGUCAUUCCUCAGCCCCCUGUAGUCUGUCAUACAUAUGCCCAAGUCACAGCUUCACGUAAACCUUUGAAACCAAAUAGUCUUCAUAUGAAGCCCACACAACUUAAUAGCCCUUGUAUUUCUGCCAACAAUGCCUCAGUGCCUUCCACCUCUCAUUCUGCCUCUUACAACUCUGGAACAUGGGCGCAGCCGGUGAGCUAUCCAUUUGUGCCGUUGGUUUCCCAGAUGCCAGAGAUUUCCCCUGUCAAGCCCGCCUAUAUCAAAGUUUCUAGAUAUCCUUCCGGGAUCCAGUUUAAGAACCCUACAGUUCAGAGCUCUCCUUUUGCUCAGCCACCCCAUGUGCUCCCAAUUAGAUAUGAUCCGACAAUGCAUCUCACCGAAAGCACAGAACAAUGGAGCAACAUUUGUACUCUCCCACAAGUGGAUGCCUAUUCUCCAGUGAAGACAUCAUCCAACACCCAGCAGCUUGCCCAAAACCCUACAUCCUCAACAAGGAGAUAUCCCAUAUCUCCAUCUUCUAGAAACAUCUCCCAGACUGUCCAGCAGCUAGAAUCUUAUAACCAUACACAGCAGGAUGGUGUGCAGCUUGGAUCAGUUGUGGUAGUAAGGAAUAAAAGCUUCAUAGUAACAUCUCUGGACACACAGCCUAAGCCUCCAGCAUCUGCUUAUCAGAGACAAUACGUUGAUUGGAAUCCUCUGGUAUCUACUACAAACAGAGCGCCGUUCAUUUCACAUGGUGCUUGCUCCACUAGUCAGCUCUUCCAGCCCUUGGAAACUUCCUCUAGUAGGAAAAGGAAUCCUAAUUCUCUGCUUUUUGAACCUCCAAUUUUUGUGGAUCAACCACAACCUGUUAGUGCAAGUGCUACCAUAACCACCUCAUCGUACUCACCACCUUCACUUGUAGAUGCUACUGUAAGCCCAUAUUCCAACCACUUAUCUGUUUGUAAUAAUUCUGCUAGUCAACCUUCAAAGCCUCGAGCUUCCAUUCAACAGCAACAAUAUACUAGCCUGAAUACCUCUGUAAUCAACUCCAGCGGGAAACAAGCAGGUUCAUUGCCUUGCCCUCAAGACCUCACUAUCAGACGAUCCCGCCAACUUUCCAUAACACCUUUAAGUGUUUGUACAGAUAAUGAGCCUCCUGUCCAAACUAAGCCUGUGGUUUCUUUUUCCAAACAUGCUGACGAUCAUCAUGUUUCUUUGCCAAAAAACCAGACAUCUUAUUCUCCCCCAAAUAGCCCUCUUAAAAAACUGGAUAGUUGUGUUAUCCUGUAA
ensembl:lncRNA